GUCCUGGCUCAGAUUGAACGCUGGCGGCAGGCCUAACACAUGCAAGUCGAACGGUAACAGGAAGAAGCUUGCUUCUUUGCUGACGAGUGGCGGACGGGUGAGUAAUGUCUGGGAAACUGCCUGAUGGAGGGGGAUAACUACUGGAAACGGUAGCUAAUACCGCAUAACGUCGCAAGACCAAAGAGGGGGACCUUCGGGUCCUCUUGCCAUCGGAUGUGCCCAGAUGGGAUUAGCUAGUAGGUGGGGUAACGG
rnacentral:rRNA from 1 species